GUAGGUGGCAAGCGUUGUCCGGAAUUAUUGGGCGUAAAGCGCGCGCAGGCGGUUCUUUAAGUCUGAUGUGAAAGCCCACGGCUCAACCGUGGAGGGUCAUUGGAAACUGGAGAACUUGAGUACAGAAGAGGAAAGCGGAAUUCCACGUGUAGCGGUGAAAUGCGUAGAGAUGUGGAGGAACACCAGUGGCGAAGGCGGCUUUCUGGUCUGUAACUGACGCUGAGGCGCGAAAGCGUGGGGAGCAAACAGGAUUAGAUACCCUGGUAGUCCACGCCGUAAACGAUGAGUGCUAAGUGUUAGGGGGUUUCCGCCCCCCUUAGUGCUGCAGCUAACGCAUUAAGCACUCCGCCUGGGAGUACGGCCGCAGGCUG
rnacentral:rRNA from 1 species